rnacentral:tRNA from 1 species
GGGGGCGUAGCUCAGCUGGUUAGAGCGCUUGCCUGUCACGCAAGAGGCCGCGGGUUCGAGUCCCGUCGCUCCCGCCA